rnacentral:rRNA from 1 species
UACGUAGGGGGCAAGCGUUGUCCGGAUUUAUUGGGCGUAAAGAGCGUGUAGGCGGCCAGGUAGGUCUGCUGUGAAAACUCGAGGCUUAACCUCGAGAUGUCGGCGGAAACCAUCUGGCUAGAGUCCGGAAGAGGAGAGCGGAAUUCCUGGUGUAGCGGUGAAAUGCGUAGAUAUCUGGAGGAAUACCGGUGGCGAAGGCGGGUCUGCUGGGCCGAUACUGAC